rnacentral:rRNA from 1 species
UACGUAGGGUGCAGGCGUUAAUCGGAAUUACUGGGCGUAAAGCGUGCGUAGGCGGUUUGUUAAGACAGGUGUGAAAUCCCCGGGCUUAACCGGGGAACUGCGUCUGAUACUGGGUGGCUUGAAUCCGGGAGAGGGAUGCGGAAUUCCAGGUGUAGCGGUGAAAUGCGUAGAUAUCUGGAGGAACACCGGUGGCGAAGGCGGCAUCCUGGACCGGUAUUGACGCUGAGGAGCGAAAGCCAGGGGAGCAAACGGG